rnacentral:rRNA from 1 species
UACGUAGGGUGCGAGCGUUGCCCGGAUUUAUUGGGCGUAAAGCGUGCGUAGGUGGUGAGUUAAGUCUGUCGUGAAAGCCCCGGGCUCAACCUGGGAAUGGCGAUGGAUACUGGCUCGCUAGAGUGCGGUAGAGGAGAGUGGAAUUCCCGGUGUAGCAGUGAAAUGCGUAGAGAUCGGGAGGAACAUCAGUUGCGAAGGCGGCUCUCUGGACCAGCACUGACACUGAGGCACGAAAGCGUGGGGAGCAAACAGG